AUGUAAUUCACUUGGGGAGCCUGUUAAAAUGUAGAUUCUGAAUCAGUAAUCGAGAUGGUCCUUGAGAGUCUGCAUUUCUAAUAAGCUCCCAGGUGAUGUGAGG
rnacentral:pre_miRNA from 1 species